rnacentral:rRNA from 1 species
CAUAGGUUAAUGAGGCGAACCGGGGGAACUGAAACAUCUAAGUACCCCGAGGAAAAGAAAUCAACCGAGAUUCCCCCAGUAGCGGCGAGCGAACGGGGAGCAGCCCAGAGCCUGAAUCAGUGUGUGUGUUAGUGGAAGCGUCUGGAAAGGCGCGCGAUACAGGGUGACAGCCCCGUACACAAAAAUGCACAUGCUGUGAGCUCGAUGAGUAGGGCGGGACACGUGGUAUCCUGUCUGAAUAUGGGGGGACCAUCCUCCAAGGCUAAAUACUCCUGACUGACCGAUAGUGAACCAGUACCGUGAGGGAAAGGCGAAAAGAACCCCGGCGAGGGGAGUGAAAAAGAACCUGAAACCGUGUACGUACAAGCAGUGGGAGCACGCUUCGGCGUGUGACUGCGUACCUUUUGUAUAAUGGGUCAGCGACUUAUAUUCUGUAGCAAGGUUAACCGAAUAGGGGAGCCGAAGGGAAACCGAGUCUUAACUGGGCGUUAAGUUGCAGGGUAUAGACCCGAAACCCGGUGAUCUAGCCAUGGGCAGGUUGAAGGUUGGGUAACACUAACUGGAGGACCGAACCGACUAAUGUUGAAAAAUUAGCGGAUGACUUGUGGCUGGGGGUGAAAGGCCAAUCAAACCGGGAGAUAGCUGGUUCUCCCCGAAAGCUAUUUAGGUAGCGCCUCGUGAAUUCAUCUCCGGGGGUAGAGCACUGUUUCGGCAAGGGGGUCAUCCCGACUUACCAACCCGAUGCAAACUGCGAAUACCGGAGAAUGUUAUCACGGGAGACACACGGCGGGUGCUAACGUCCGUCGUGAAGAGGGAAACAACCCAGACCGCCAGCUAAGGUCCCAAAGUCAUGGUUAAGUGGGAAACGAUGUGGGAAGGCCCAGACAGCCAGGAUGUUGGCUUAGAAGCAGCCAUCAUUUAAAGAAAGCGUAAUAGCUCACUGGUCGAGUCGGCCUGCGCGGAAGAUGUAACGGGGCUAAACCAUGCACCGAAGCUGCGGCAGCGACGCUUAUGCGUUGUUGGGUAGGGGAGCGUUCUGUAAGCCUGUGAAGGUGUGCUGUGAGGCAUGCUGGAGGUAUCAGAAGUGCGAAUGCUGACAUAAGUAACGAUAAAGCGGGUGAAAAGCCCGCUCGCCGGAAGACCAAGGGUUCCUGUCCAACGUUAAUCGGGGCAGGGUGAGUCGACCCCUAAGGCGAGGCCGAAAGGCGUAGUCGAUGGGAAACAGGUUAAUAUUCCUGUACUUGGUGUUACUGCGAAGGGGGGACGGAGAAGGCUAUGUUGACCGGGCGACGGUUGUCCCGGUUUAAGCGUGUAGGCUGGUUUUCCAGGCAAAUCCGGAAAAUCAAGGCUGAGGCGUGAUGACGAGGCACUACGGUGCUGAAGCAACAAAUGCCCUGCUUCCAGGAAAAGCCUCUAAGCAUCAGGUAACAUCAAAUCGUACCCCAAACCGACACAGGUGGUCAGGUAGAGAAUACCAAGGCGCUUGAGAGAACUCGGGUGAAGGAACUAGGCAAAAUGGUGCCGUAACUUCGGGAGAAGGCACGCUGAUAUGUAGGUGAAGCGACUUGCUCGUGGAGCUGAAAUCAGUCGAAGAUACCAGCUGGCUGCAACUGUUUAUUAAAAACACAGCACUGUGCAAACACGAAAGUGGACGUAUACGGUGUGACGCCUGCCCGGUGCCGGAAGGUUAAUUGAUGGGGUCAGCGCAAGCGAAGCUCUUGAUCGAAGCCCCGGUAAACGGCGGCCGUAACUAUAACGGUCCUAAGGUAGCGAAAUUCCUUGUCGGGUAAGUUCCGACCUGCACGAAUGGCGUAAUGAUGGCCAGGCUGUCUCCACCCGAGACUCAGUGAAAUUGAACUCGCUGUGAAGAUGCAGUGUACCCGCGGCAAGACGGAAAGACCCCGUGAACCUUUACUAUAGCUUGACACUGAACAUUGAGCCUUGAUGUGUAGGAUAGGUGGGAGGCUUUGAAGUGUGGACGCCAGUCUGCAUGGAGCCGACCUUGAAAUACCACCCUUUAAUGUUUGAUGUUCUAACGUUGACCCGUAAUCCGGGUUGCGGACAGUGUCUGGUGGGUAGUUUGACUGGGGCGGUCUCCUCCUAAAGAGUAACGGAGGAGCACGAAGGUUGGCUAAUCCUGGUCGGACAUCAGGAGGUUAGUGCAAUGGCAUAAGCCAGCUUGACUGCGAGCGUGACGGCGCGAGCAGGUGCGAAAGCAGGUCAUAGUGAUCCGGUGGUUCUGAAUGGAAGGGCCAUCGCUCAACGGAUAAAAGGUACUCCGGGGAUAACAGGCUGAUACCGCCCAAGAGUUCAUAUCGACGGCGGUGUUUGGCACCUCGAUGUCGGCUCAUCACAUCCUGGGGCUGAAGUAGGUCCCAAGGGUAUGGCUGUUCGCCAUUUAAAGUGGUACGCGAGCUGGGUUUAGAACGUCGUGAGACAGUUCGGUCCCUAUCUGCCGUGGGCGCUGGAGAACUGAGGGGGGCUGCUCCUAGUACGAGAGGACCGGAGUGGACGCAUCACUGGUGUUCGGGUUGUCAUGCCAAUGGCACUGCCCGGUAGCUAAAUGCGGAAGAGAUAAGUGCUGAAAGCAUCUAAGCACGAAACUUGCC